rnacentral:rRNA from 1 species
AAAGCGUGCGCAGGCGGCGGUCUGCGCCCGGCGUGAAAGCCCCCGGCUCAACCGGGGAGGGUCGUCGGGGGACGGGACCGCUUGAGGAUCGCAGGGGGCUGGUGGAAUUCCCGGUGUAGUGGUGAAAUGCGUAGAGAUCGGGAGGAACACCCGUGGGCGAAGGCGGCCAGCUGGGCGAUACCUGACGCUGAGGCACGAAGGCGUGGGGGAGCGAAC